GGCGGAGCCGGGGCCAUGGAGCCGCCGCUGCCGGGCUAGGCAGGUCCUGCCCCGCCGGGCCCGCGGCGAUGUCGGGCUACCCGCGCCGCCCGGGCGCCACCCUGCUGUCCCGAGCCCGGAGCCUCGCCAUUCCCGACGAUGACAAAUUUGAAGAUCUUGAAGAGGCAAAUCCAUUCUCCUUUAAAGAGCUUCUGAAGACCAAGAACCUCGGCCUGUCAAAAGAGGACCCAGCCAGCAGCAUUUAUGCAAAGGAAGCCUCGAGGCAUUCACUGGGACUUGACCACAACUCCUCAGCCUCCCAAACCGGGGGGGUAUGGCCUGGAGUAUCAGCAGCCAUUUUUCGAGGACCCGACAGGGGCCGGUGACCUCCUGAAUAAGGAGGAGGAUGAGGACACCUGAUGGAGUGGGGCCUACCUGCCGUCCGCCAUCCAGCAGACUCACCCCGAGAGGGUCCCUGCCAGCACGUGGCCCUGCAGCACAUACCUUUCCUUUUUCUCCACCCCGUCGGAGCUGGCAGGGCCUGAGUCUCUGCCCCCGUGGGUGUUGAGUGACACUGAUUCUCGUGUCUCUGGCCUCUCCGGCAGGGAGUCCUAGCGCAGACUUUGCGGCUCAUGGAGAGUCUCCGGGAUACAGGCGCCUGCGGACGCUGCAGAUAAGUUACGACGCACUGAAAGAUGAAAAUUCUAAGCUGAGAAGAAAGCUGAAUGAGGUUCAGAGCUUCUCUGAAGCUCAAACAGAAAUGGUGAAGACACUUGAGCGGAAAUUAGAAGCAAAAAUGAUCAAGGAGGAAAGCGACUACCACGACUUGGAGUCGGUGGUUCAGCAGGUGGAGCAGAACCUGGAGCUGAUGACCAAACGGGCUGUAAAGGCAGAAAACCACGUCGUGAAACUGAAACAGGAAAUCAAUUUGCUCCAGGCGCAGGUCUCCAACUUCCAGCGAGAGAAUGAAGCCCUGUGGUGCGGCCAGGGCACCAGACUGACAGUGGUGAAGCAGAACGCCGACGUGGCCUUGCAGAACCUCCGCGUGGCCAUGAACAGCGCACAGGCUUCCAUUAAGCAACUGGUUUCCAGAGCUGAGACACUGAAUCUUGUUGCCGAAAUCCUUAAAUCUAUAGACAGAAUUUCUGAAAUUAAAGACGAGGAGGAAGACUCUUGAGGACCCCUGGGUGUUCUCAGCAUGAAGCUCCGUGUAUGCCCUGAAAUCACCACCGCUUGAUCUAAAUGUGCAGUUGUGUCCUUAAAUAUGCAGUCUUCACCCAGAGUAAAGUGUUUAUCGCAA